ensembl:misc_RNA Metazoa_SRP Metazoan signal recognition particle RNA
GCCAGGCAUGGUGAUGCAUGCCUGUAGUCCCAGCUACUUGGGAGGCUAAGGUAGGAGGAUAGCUUGAGCCCAGGAAGUUUGAGGCUGCAGUGAGCUAUGAUCACAGCACUGCACUCCAUCCUGGGUGAUUGAGUGAGACCCUAUCUCUA